CCUGUUCCCAACAAUGGGGAUCUUGGAGAAACUCGAGGGAAGGUACAUGAUGUGUUGACCUUCACUUAAUGUGUUUGAAUAUGUCAUCCCACUGCCUUUGGCCUUCAUAGCUUCUGGCCCAGGAAAGGGAAGAAUUACAUGAAGACACAUGGAGAGGGGAGCCAAGGGGAGAGGUUCAGAAGAAACAAAGCCUGCUGAUAUCUUGAUCUUGGGGUCUAACCUCCAGAACGGUGAUGAAAUGUCUGUUAUUUAAGCCAUUCGGUCUGUGGUAUUGGUGACAACAGUCUAAGCAGACUAAUGCAAGCCCUGACACAGACUUUAUGCAAUUUAAUUCUCUUUUCUCAGUCAUGAUUUUCUCCUCUGUAAUAAGCUCUAAUUAUCAGUGAUGAAAAUUAAAUGUGUAAAUGUGUACAUUAUUGUUUAAAGACAAGUAAAGAAAACCAACACCCUUGUUUUUGUUUAACGGAUCUACCUAUUUUUAGGAAAUGUUUAAGCAGAUGUGGAUUUUUUUUUUAACACAAUAAA
rnacentral:lncRNA from 1 species